AUUACACUCGACAUUUCCACUCAUGUUUAACUACUUCUGAAGAAAAAAAAAAGCCGAAUGCUGUAUUGCUUUUCCUUAAAACAUGUCAGUCCUGAAAUAAUCAUUCACCACACUAACAAUAAAACAGAUGACUGAGAAGUUGAAGCCUUCCAAACCCAUUCCCACAUGGAUCCCUGAGGCCCUGUAAGUAUAUAAGAGGAUGAAGCGGUUGAUGUGCUGCUGGCAGCAGACUGAGUGAGGUCGAGUGUGCGUGUUCUCCUGUGUGAGCUAGGUGGAGGGCCGAGUGCUCCCAAGGCCUCAUUGUGUCCGAAAUAUAAACAAUCAGGGCAGCUGCAGCAGAGAAGCAUGGUCAUCUGCCACGCCACAGCUUCCUCCAUGCUCUCAGCCCAGCACACACACACUUCCUCCAGAGAGAGCGAGGUCAGUGCAUGGCUAUAUUUAGUGUCAUGAGCCUGGCUUACACCCAGUCACAGUAUAAAAGGCUUUCCCUGAAUAGCAGAUCAGACCCACCUCACAGACUAAGCCACGCAGUAGCUCUCUGACCCAGCGCAGUAUGAGGACUACCUUGUAUCUCACAAGACUCGAGAAUCUAUUUACUACAGCAUGAAGCCGAGAAGACUGCUGUUAUCCGUGGCUCCUUUGCCCACAAUAACAGAGACACACGAGGAUGCCUCACAGACGGGAUGCUCUUCGCAGUCUAUGGAGGAAUAUAUCGACUCCAUUAAAAAGCUGGCCCAGCCUGCAUACGGCCCUGUGCGGGUUGUACGGACUAUGAGGCCUUGUCUCUUUUCUAAGCCUCUGGACAAACACUUGGGAAGUAGCAGCCCACUUCGCUGCUCCUACAGGACCCCACGGUCACGUGUAGCCACACUGAGUCUAGACGAGCUCACACCCAGCAGCCACCGAGACCCAGUGGACUGGCUCUUUGCACAGACGCAGCUACCUGCACCUCGAGAUGAGCUGCACAGGACUGACAGUGCACCAGCUGCCCUGAGGUUACUGUAAUAAACUACACACAAUGGAACUGUGUUGCACUGGACUGAGAAAAGAUACACUGGAUGAUGUUGGAUGUGGACUUAGUAAUAGCUUAAUUUAUUUGUGUGUGUGUGUGUUUUUUUUGUAUUUAGUUACAUUGUAUAUUUUUAAAAAAGUUAAAAAAUUUGGAAAUGUGGUCAUUUUAAAGCUAUUUUUAAAUAUCUUAUGAUGAUCCUUUAAAUAAAUCUAUAUAGUGCAAACAGGAAGCAAUAGCACAUAUUGAAAACACAGUCAGUCAGAGUGGUUAUUGUAGGGUCAACUGAACAUUUUGAAACAGCUUUGGUAAACUGUAAACCUUUAAAACCCAUUUUAAACCUUAAGGAUCAUGACUGUACCUGAAAUGAGUUUUAAAGAAAAUUAUACAGACAAAAAAAGCUACCAUUCUGUGACCAUGAAUCUGAGAGUAUGUCUAAUUUUAUGUUAAUAUUAGCAAUUAUCAAGCUACAUCCAGAUCUGUGACUACACAAACAUGUUAAAUAUGUUAUGAUUAUUUUUUAUUUAGCAAUUUGACUGAAAAUGCAUGAAAAAAAGCUCUGCUGCACUCAUUUACUCAGAAAGACAUAUUUGCAACCAUCACUAUUUAACCAGCACCAAAUUAAGAUCCAAAGCCCUACAUCUUAAUUUAUACAUAAUAUUUGACAUGAGCUAGAGAGCACUUCUUCCUGACCUAUAACAAAAUCUCUAUAAUGGUAUCUAUAAACCACCCUUAUAGAUGCCUAUACAUCUGGUAUAAACAUCUAUAGUUGUGCAUCAUGAACAAAAUAUCAUAGAAUAUAACAGCUUAUUUGAAAAUAAUUAGCCUAGUAAAUAAGUUCUGUACAGGCCUCCUCAUAAAUGUUCAUCCGACUAUAUACUUCUUUGUAUUUCAGUGUCUAAUAAAAUAGUUAAUUUGCACAUUAUGUAAUGAAAACAAUGUGAAAUAGUACGUGAAGUAUCUACACGGCACUGAUAGAAUUGAGAAGACCUGAAUCUUCGUGCCCAGUACGCAACACAACAAUAACUUGAAAUUCAAUUUUCAAUUUAAUUUAAUUUGUAUAGCACUUUUAACAAAGGACAUUGUCUCAAAGCAGCUUUACAGAAACAUAUAAACAGAAGAUACAGAUUUUAAAUGUGUGAAUUUAUCACUAUUGAGCAAGCCAGUGGUGACGGUGGCAAGGAAAAACUCCCUAAGAUGAUAUGAGGAGGAAACCUUGAGAGGAACCGGACUCAGAAGGGAACACAUCCUAAUCUGAGUAACAAUGGAUAGUGUGAAAGUAAAAGAAAGUUCAUUAUGGUUUUAUAUGAAGUCUGUUUUGUUGAACUAAUCCACUGUUCACUAAAGGAGACUUGAGUGCAAAAUUGUAUGUGGUAAUUGCAGUCCUAAGGCCAUAACAGCAACCAUAGCUCCAACACCAAAGCGCAACUGUUCAUGUGAAAUUGAGAUCAUUUGAGAAUGAUGGAACCAAACAGACUUGUGUGAGUCGUCUAUAAAUUAUUUUUUGAUAGCAAAAAGCUUCUACACUGAAACAAAAAUAAACAGUACUAACAACACAGCAUUUGUGGAACCCUAUGCUUUACUGCCAUAGGUGACUUCAGUUUUUAAAAUGGGGUACAGAUUGUCAAAAUAAUCAAACAUCAUGUUUACUUUUUAUGCCUAUAAAUAAACCUUAAAGUGUCUUUUCAAUACAAUAAAUACAUCUCAGCUAUUAAUUCAGAGCUAUUACUUGUUUAAACAAUCAAUCUAACAGUGCACACCUGGACAACAAGAAACACCUGUUCCUAUAUUAUUCAUGGCCUGAAAAAUUGAGUAGUCUAAUUUUUAAUCUAAUUAAAAAUCUAAUACACAAAUGUCUUCAGUGUAUAUGAAAAACAAAAGAAUUGGCAUUUCCAAUACUUUGAGGGGACUGCAGAUUAUUAGCAUUCAGCAGGCUCCCUCUGCUGGUUAAAAGCCCACACUGCAGAAUGUGUUCAAAAUGCUUCUACCACAAGCAGAGAAUGCUGCCAUCCCUCAAUUCCAGCAGUAGCUUGUGACCACAGAUUUUAGUGGGGCAGGAUGACAUUAAUAACAACAUAGCCUCAAACAAAAUUAAGUCGGGAGACUAUCACACAAGACUGAUGCUAUAGACUACUAUCUAUUGAAUCUAACCUUUGUGCAAGCAAACAAUUAUUUUACAUGUAUUUCUGACGCAUUUGUGAUAUUAUCCACUCCAUAAACCCCCUGUUUUUCACUAAGAUCUUGUUUUUUUAAAAGCAAAUAAUUCUAUUGAAAUCUAAAAUUUCGGCAACACGUCAACGUGUAAGUGCAGACAAUACGUCGAUGAUAUACCGAACCAUUUCUACUGUAAGAUACUCAACGAACACUUUAUUAGGAACAGCUGUACACCAAAUCAUUCAUGCAAUUAUCUAAUCAGCCAAUUGUGUGGCAGCAGUGCAGUGCAUUAAAUCAUGUAGGUACAGGCCAGCAGCUUCAAGUAAUGUUCACAUCAACAAUCAGAAUGGGGAAAAAUGUGAAGUCAAAAAAAGUGAUUUUGACUGUGGCUUGACUGUGGUGUCAGAUGGGCUGGAUUGAGUAUUUCUAUAACUGCUGAUCUCCUGAGAUUUUCACACAAAAGUCUCUAGAGUUACUCAGAAUAGUGCAAAAAAUUGUUAAAAAUCCAGUGAGCGGCAGUUCUGCGGACAGAAAUACUUUGUUGAUGAGAGAGGUCAAUGGAGAAUAGCCAGAGUGGUUGGAGCUGACAGAAAGGCUUCAGUAACUCAGAUAACUACUUUGUACAACUGUGGUGAGCAGAAAAGCAUCUCAGAAUGCAGAACAUGUUGAAUCUUGAAGCAGAUGGGCUACAACAGCAGAAGACCACAUUAUGUUCCACUUCUGUCAGCCAAUAACAGAAAGCUGAGGCUGCAAUGGGCAUAGGCUCACCAAAACUGGACAGUUGAAGACUGGAAAAAGUCUGGUCUGAUGAAUCUUGAUUUCUG